GAUGUAGGGUCAGUUUUGGAGCCUGUUUUGGCUAGCUCGGACAUGACUAAGGAAGUUUCUACUUCUAAGACGCCGGUGUCUACAAGGGGGGAGUUUGCAAACAUUAGUCUACAGGGUUCGAUGGGGAUUGCCUCAUCUCCACUGACUGAUGCUCGUCCUACUGUGGAGGAGGUUAUUGCUUUUGGGGGUAUUUCUAGGCCCUCGGGUGUGAGGACUAGUAAAAGACUUGGGGGCCAGGCUAAUGUGGACAUGCCCUAGAUGGAUAAGGCAAUGAUGAAUGCACAGUUGAGAGAUGUUUCUGCUUGUGCAGGUUAUCCAUACGAUGGCACAUUGGGUUCAGUUGUGGGCUCUACUGUCACCGGAGGGACAUCGGGAUACUAUCGUUACUGGAUGCACACGACUCCUGACGGUCGCUCAGGAUAUCUUGUGCCAGACUGGCUGGUGGCACAAUAGGCGGCUACUUUGAUGGAUACAGUUUUCUGUAGUCUAUUGGUGCUUUGUUUCUUUCGAUGGUUGAUUCUUGUAUCAAUCCUCGGUAACGCUUGAGAUGUAAUAACUUUUGUAAUACUCUUAAUCUUAAUAAAAGGCCGUGUGCAUCAUCAUGAUGCAGAAGCCGGGGUUUUAUUCCCCAUUUCGAA